GUGGGGAAUAUUGGACAAUGGGCGAAAGCCUGAUCCAGCCAUGCCGCGUGUGUGAAGAAGGUCUUCGGAUUGUAAAGCACUUUAAGUUGGGAGGAAGGGCAGUAAGUUAAUACCUUGCUGUUUUGACGUUACCGACAGAAUGAGCACUGGCUAACUUCGUGCCAGCAGCCGCGGUAAUACGACGGGUGAAAGCGUUAAUCGGAAUUACUGGGCGUAAAGAGCGGGUAGGUGGUUUUGUAAGUUGUAGGUGAAAUCCACGGGCUCAACCUGGGAACUGCCUCCAAAACUGCAUGACUAGAGUACGGUAGAGGGUAGUGGAAUUUCCUGUGUAGCGGUGAAAUGCGUAGAUAUAGGAAGGAACACCAGUGGCGAAGGCGACUACCUGGACUGAUACUGACACUGAGGUGCGAAAGCGUGGGGAGCAAACAGGAUUAGAAACCCGAGUAGUCC
rnacentral:rRNA from 1 species